GACGAACGCUGGCGGCGUGCUUAACACAUGCAAGUCGAACGGAAAGGCCCUGCUUUUGUGGGGUGCUCGAGUGGCGAACGGGUGAGUAACACGUGAGUAACCUGCCCUUAACUUUGGGAUAUAUCUAGGAAACUGGGGCUAUAACCGGAUAGAAUCUCUUGCUCCAUGUGGGGGGUGGGAAAGUUUCGGCGGUGGGGGCUGGACUCGCGGCUUAUCAGCUUGUUGGUGGGGUAGGGGCUGACAAAGGCUUUGACGGGUAGCCGGCCUGAGAGGGUGACCGGCCACAUUGGGACUGAGAUACGGCCCAGACGCCUACGGGAGGCAGCAGUGGGGAAUAUUGCACAAUGGGCGGAAGCCUGAUGCAGCAACGCCGCGUGCGGGAUGACGGCCUUCGGGUUGUAAACCGCUGUCGCCUGUGACGAAGCGUGAGUGACGGUAAUGGGUAAAGAAGCACCGGCUAACUACGUG
rnacentral:rRNA from 1 species